UGCCCGCCGGGAGCCGAGCGAAAACUGUUACAGAAGUCUCUGAAUUUUCGCUGCCCGAUCCAAACCAGAAAGGGAUUCCGGGAUCCAAAACCUCAGUUUCAAGCCUCUGAGUGAGGGCGGUGUCGGCUCAGAAUUAAGGUUUCCAUGGAUUUUACCAGCCCUCCAUUAUCUCUCCAAGACAAUGGUUUUAGUAUGGUACCCACUGAUCCACUGGGGGAGAUUGAAAAACUCAAGGAAGAGCUGAGGAUGUGGAAGGCAAGUUCUGUAAAGCCCAUGGAAUCAUGGAGAUUUGCUAAAAUACAAAGAUUGGUGCAUCCUUCUAAAAUCAGA